rnacentral:rRNA from 1 species
UACGAAGGGGGCUAGCGUUGCUCGGAAUUACUGGGCGUAAAGGGCGCGUAGGCGGACAGUUUAGUCAGAGGUGAAAGCCCAGGGCUCAACCUUGGAAUUGCCUUUGAUACUGGCUGUCUUGAGUUCGGGAGAGGUGAGUGGAAUGCCGAGUGUAGAGGUGAAAUUCGUAGAUAUUAGCUAGAACACCAGUGGCGAAGGCGGCCAACUGGUCCGGUACUGACGCUGAGGUGCGAAAGCGUGGGGAGCAAACAGG